rnacentral:lncRNA from 1 species
GAUAAAUUUAGAGGUUGUCUGCUGAAUGUUCAGGCACCUAGUCUAGAGCCAAGCAGUUUUUGGUAACUCAACUGAAGACAAACUUCUAGUCUAGAGGCAUUGGGUCAAGAUAAGUAAGACUGAGAGAUGAGGAAGGUGGAGUUCACAGAAGAGAAUUAACUGAGCCCCCACUUGGACUCUGGACUCCAGCACCUGCAUUCUCUAUCACAUCAUGAAAAGACUUUUGAUUCUAACAGGACACCUUCCAGAUUGAAAUGGGCAGCCGUGGACCUGCUCUCCGGAUGAGAUACGUUUAAGUGAAGCAUCCAGAGUUCGCACCAGCCAGCUGUAGCUCCAUCACGAGACCACAUUUGGAGGAGGGAAAGGACGCACAGGCUGCUUAAUCACCUGUCAUCGCUUCCUGCCAGAUACAGCUGCGGCUGAUCUGCCUGAGUGCUCCCACCAUUGUCUGCCCCGAACUUACACAGGCAGACAACAAGAAGCCAACUCGGUCUGAGCUACAGCGGACUGGCCCGCGCUGUGCCGAAGCUCAUCCCCAGUGCUCCGGAACACAUUCUCAAGUCUGCAGGACAUCGCCUAUAACUUACAGUAAUGGUCACAGAACAAAAGAGAUUCCAUUAGUGCCUAAUGAACAGGAUUCAGUCAGUCAGUAAAUAGAUAAAUGCACCUAAGCUGUACUUGGGAUAUCAGUGAACAGGAAAGACAAGACCUUCAGGAAAGCGAUUUCACCUUUGGGAGACAUGACCCACUAGUAAUUACAUAAAGAAACAAAGUAUAAAUUUUGAUUCAGGCUUCAGAAAAAGGGUAAAAAGACUUUCCAUCAG